GGGGAUUUAGCUCAGUGGCACAGCACCUGCCUGGCAAGCAGGAGGUCCUGAGUUGAUCCCUA
rnacentral:tRNA from 1 species